GUCCGCAAGGGUCUGCAAAUUUUCUUUCUUAACGUGCUCAAAAGUACAGCUGUAAUUUUCAAUCUCUCAGCUCUGAACAGAUGUCUAUGUUUAUGGAGUAAUCAAAGCGGGGUGCAGUGCGCAAUACUUCAAUGCUCAUAAAGCCAUCUGGUUCCCUGAUUUUGAGCCACACUCGAUUCACAAAACACAGAUGUAUGCGUCUACAGCUGGUAGACAAGCAUCUUUCGGUUUCGUAUUAAUACGAUGUCGACAUUGAAGGCAACCUUCAUUUGGUCGCGUUUAACAAGCUGUGAUUUUUCUAUAAUCAACUCUGGUAGUAAGGAUAACAUGAGAUUUUUACGUCUAUUAAUGGCGAAAUACUAUGUUUUGAUGGUAAGCGCCUCGUCCAUUGGCGUCACUAAGUCAACUCCUUUUUAACAAUCUAAUGAGGAUAAGAUGAGACUAUCAAAGCCAUUAAAUAGUCUGUUCAAAGAUUCGACGAGAAGAAGGUUUCAAUUCGCAUCUUGUGGUUGAUAUCUGCAUGGCUAACAUACAAAGUAUAACGAUAAUGGAAAAUAUGGGAAGCUUCGAAGAGUAUUGAAGUUAUAAGAUGGGUUAAUAUUUGAUGAUGUCUUCCACAUCUGAUCCAGUGAGCCUUGUUGCGUCGUUAAAAUUGCUAUACACAAGAACUAUUUGAAACGAAAAGACUUUGACUUUAACGUACGUUUGUUAAGUGAGAGGAAAAGAUUGGAUGGUGGGUGAACAAUCUUUAUGAAACGAAAGAUUUAGAAAGAGAAAAAGAUAUGGAAUACAAGAAAAGAGUUGAAAAUACACCAUAUUUAAGUUUGAGAGAAAACGUAACAAUUGAACGUGAUCAGAAAGCGAUGAAAAAAUCCGUCAAAUCUAACAUGCACAAAUAUCUUCUAAAGCGACAUUGGAUAAGAUGGAGUUCGCCCAGCUUGUGAGGAUUUUAAUCUCAUUUGAACUUUUUUAAUUUUGUCACACAGCCACGGCGGUCUUUCCACUCGUAGCAUUAUUAAAAUGCAACCUUUAACGGAUGCAGAAUGUACUCGGGAAAUCAAACAAUGUCAGAAAUUAGCCCAAAAUUACUUAGAUUGUAUGAACGUAGUGUAACAUGCAUUAUAAUGUACACAAAAGAAUGACAAAUCAUGGCGAUGUAGAUAUCUAUAGAGACGUUCCUUACGACAUCAACGUAUCCAAUAUGAAGUUAAGUUGCGAAGGAACUUAAGUGAUAACUAUGGAUAGAGAAGGGAUAGAUGAGAUUUCCCAGAUAUUGUGCGAAUAUUGCAAUGACGUGAUGGUACCAUUGACAUGAGGAUAUGUAAAGGUUAUCGUUAAAUAGUUUCAAAUACGAACAAGACAGAAUCCGUUCUUUAAUGGAUUAGCGAAGAAACGCGGUGUACUUAAAACUGAUUAUUAACAUAUUAAAGUCAUAAACCUUAAAGGCAAA